AAGACUAUGCAUUCUGGGAUCAUUUCGAUAGCUCGUUCCUAGAGAAGUUUCUCUGAGUACCAGAAGCCACAAGGAGCAGGCCCAGUGUUCCCUCCCGAGCAGGAGCCGUCGUCUGUGUUGCUUCCCUGCAAGUACCAUUCGCCACUGAUGACCAUUCUUCUGUUCCUCUGGGAGAGUAAGAGGGAGAGGAUGUAGUCUGAGAGGU
ensembl:snoRNA U3 Small nucleolar RNA U3